rnacentral:lncRNA from 1 species
GAUUUUAUGUAGUAAUGAAACAAAUUAUAGGCAUGAUUUCUAUAUGCAGAUGCAGAAGUGGAAAACAUGUCGUGAUUGCAGAAAUAAAUACCUAAAGCAUGAUGUCUACCCACAUGCAUAACAUGAGUGACCCUUCCCUUUUCCCUAUAUACCCCAUAAACUCUUACAAAUUAUUACAACCUGGAUGAAUCAAGAAAAAUAAAAUUACAUCAGAAAUUAAACUACAAUCAAUGAGCCUAAUUUAGACUCAAGGUCUAACAAUAUGAGAUAAACCAACUUCCAGGAUCAGAUUUUUCAAAGCCUUUCUAUUUUUUGGGAUGUGUCAAAGUUUCCAAGAGCUUCAAGUGGACUCUGGGUUGUGCAUACACCCUAAUUAUAUUGCAGAAUUAGAUUAUAGUGCAGUGUGGAACCCAGCCCUCAAAUGUCCAAGUUCAGAGGGAACUCAAGGUCCCAAAGCAAGGCUCAUAGGAGGGGGCAGAACUUAGAGUCUAAGAGUAAGUAUAAGUGCAUAGAGGGGAGUUAGGGAAGGCCAUGGCAGGAUGGUGGUCAUGCCCAACAAUUAAGAGUGCUGGCACACCCCUGACCAACCUGUUAGCCAAAUCUUAGGUGUUAGGAUCCGUUGAGGAUCAGGUUCAGACCUAGGUAAUAAUUUGAAUAUUGCUAGGCCAUGAACCUCAACUCAAACAUAUAGAAGGGAGUAGUGGUAGGGAUUCACAAUAGAAACAGAUGCAAGAAAAGAACAUGGAUUGCCAAUACUGUACAUAAACAACAAAGUAGACUAGAGUAUGGCAACUAUAAAGUAAACACUUAGGGAGAAAGCUGAAAUCAAAGCUGAGACAUACCAGUUUCAGGGAAACAAAUAAGUAAAAUAGUAGUCCUGAAAAACCAAGUUGCAAGCAAACAGUACAAAGACCUCAGAAGAGCGUAGAGUAUUGUAAUUGAGACUGUGUGAAUAUUGAAUCUGAGUUGUUUAAUAAUCAAUGAGUGUCCAAGUAUAGAAGGGUCGUGCCCCUUUUAUAGUGCAGCAAACAAGUAAGAAAAGGUAAAGGAAUAGCAUUGAAAUCAAUCACCCUUUAAUUAAGGGACUCUAAUUUCAAAUGGGUAAAGACAAUUAAGAAAAGAAUUAAUCAGAAUAUUUUCUCAAGCAGUGCAAUAAAGGGUAAAUACAUAGGAGUUAUUUCAGGCAAAAGUCCAGUAGUACUUGGAUUAUGAAAAAUAAGGAAAGAAAAUCAAUCAAACAACUAGUGAAAUCAAAGUUAUAGGCUUUUAAUCGAAUGAACCAAGUCAGGUAAAGGUAAAGCAGGUCUAAUUAAAGGAAAUCAGUAGCAAUUAAUGACACCCCAUUAGUGGAAUUUAGAAUCAAUUAGUAGUUGGCAAAACCUUUUUUUAAAAGGAGAAUUUCACAUAUUUAAAGAAGAUAAAUCAAACAAAAGGGGUCGUCAUGUUACUUAGAAAAGAGAAUGAUAUUGAGAGGUUCAAAAUCAUAAGCAAAGGGAUACAAGUCCAGUUUGUAGACUCAAAGUAAGUAUGAGAGUCUAGGGUUCUAAUGCAGAACCCUAGUCCAAAUACCAAAUCAAACUUGCCAAAGAAAUACCCCAAUAUCCUAGGAUUUCAAAUCGAAUCAUACAUAGAGAUGAGAAGGAAAGAAAUUGAAACAGACUUCAAAGGUCUGUUUCAGAGCCUCAUAAGAAAGAAAACUAAUAUAAUAGCAGUUUUUGAAACAACAAAGAAAAAAAGCUGACUUAAGAGCAUAGAUGAGCAUAUUUUAGGAAAGUUGGAUCUUAAGCAAGUGAUGCAAACUUAAGCCACAGUAAACGGAACAUGCUUAACAAGAACACAAACAGACUUCAGCACAGUAAACGAAAAUAAAAAAAACUCAACAGAAAAACACAUAGAGUAGAAUAAUAACGGAAAGUAUAGCAAAGAGCAUGUAGGAAAACAUAGUAAUGAUUAACAUACAGUUCUAGUCUUAGAGGCACAGUAGAACAUAAAGCAACAUGAGUAUCAUUUAUGGUAAAAAAACUGAAAAGUAGAAGCACAACAUAUGCGUAGUAAAAGGGAAACACAUGAGCAUGAUAUAGACAAACACAUAUGAAGAAAAGAAGUAGAAUAAAAAAAGAUGUUUUUUGCAAAACCUUUUAGAAACCCUAAAUCGACGGCAAGUGAUUUUAAAAAGGGAAAAUUUUGGGAAAAUACUUUGAAUGUCCAGUAGAACACAAAUACGUUUAAGAUCUAAGAAAAAAAACAAAGAAAGAACCUUGAUUAUCUUAGGAUUUCAGAGAAAACCCUAGAAAUGAGAAAGGUUUGGAAAAGUCAGAUCUUGGGCCGAAGAGGUCAGGAAUCGGGCUUCUCGUGCUUGAAUAUGCCAGAGCAUGGCCGGAGAAGCCAUGGAAUCCAAAGAUCUCAGAAGAUCUGAAAGAGAACCAUCGAAGUCGAGCUUCAAAACCUUUAACACAAAAGGUCUAAUGGUGGAGAGGAGGAAUUAUAGACCAACCAUGGCCUGAGAAGCCAUAGAUUCUGGUGAAGGUACGGUUGAAAAGUGUAGGCGGUGGCUACGGUUCCGAAGAACCUUCGAGAGAGUUUGGGAGAGGAGAGUUUU